rnacentral:rRNA from 1 species
GACCUCAGAUCAGGUAGGGAUACCCGCUGAACUUAAGCAUAUCAAUAAGCGGAGGAAAAGAAACCAACAGGGAUUGCCUUAGUAACGGCGAGUGAAGCGGCAAAAGCUCAGAUUUGAAAUCUGGUGUCAUUAUGGCAUCUGAGUUGUAGUCUGUAGAGGAGUAUUCAAGCAUGGCUUUGGCUUAAGUUCUUUGGAACAGGACGUCAUAGAGGGUGAGAGCCCCGUUAAUGGCCUUUGUCUUAUGCUUAUGUGAAUGUCCUUCAAUGAGUCGAGUUGUUUGGGAAUGCAGCUCUAAAUGGGUGGUAAAUUCCAUCUAAAGCUAAAUAUUGGCAAGAGACCGAUAGCGCACAAGUAGAGUGAUCGAAAGAUGAAAAGAACUCUGAACAGAGAGUUAAAUAGUACGUGAAAUUGUUGAAAGGGAAGCACUUGCAACUAGGUACACUUGUAGCUGAUCAACCUUCAUUCUUGAAGGUGCACUCAGCUAUCUGUGGGUCAGCAUCAGUUGUAGUGGUGGGAAAAAGAUGAGAGAAAUGUGGCUCCUUUUGGGGAGUGUUAUAGUCUCUGAUGUAAUACCACCUAUUAUGACUGAGGUCUGCACUUUGGUGAGGAUGCUGGCAUAAUGGUUGUAAGUGACCCGUCUUGAAACACGGACCAAGGAGUCUAACAUCUAUGCAAGUGUUUGGGUUUUCAAACCCUUUCGCGGAAUGAAAGUGAAUGGAGGUGGGACCCGUAAGGUGCACCAUCGACCGAUCCUGAUGUUUACGGAUGGAUUUGAGUAGGAGCAUAGCUGUUGGGACCCGAAAGAUGGUGAACUAUGCCUGAAUAGGGUGAAGCCAGAGGAAACUCUGGUGGAGGCUCGCAGCGGUUCUGACGUGCAAAUCGAUCGUCAAAUUUGGGUAUAGGGCGAAAGA